CAAUAGCGUAUAUUAAAGUUGUUGCAGUUAAAAAGCUCGUAGUUGAAUUUUGGAUUUGACAGCAGGGUCUCUUUGAAAGAAGAGUACUUUGGUGUUGGAUCUUGUUUGCAGUGAACCCAUGUGUCAUUUAUUUGGUGUAUGGUGGAACUACAGGUUUACUUUGAAAAAAUUAGAGUGUUUAAGGCAAGCAUCGCCUGAAUACAUUAGCAUGGAAUAAUAGAAUAGGACUUUGGUUCUAUUUUGUUGGUUUCUAGGACCAAGGUAAUGAUUAAUAGGGAUAGUUGGGGACAUUAGUAUUUCAUUGUCAGAGGUGAAAUUCUUGGAUUUAUGAAAGACUAACUUGUGCGAAAGCAUUUGUCCAGAAUGUUUUCAUUAA
rnacentral:rRNA from 1 species